UGUGUGUUUAUAAAAAGAGGAGCAGUGAAAACGAGAAAGAUCAAACCCUUUUCGUCGACACUAUGUCCUUCGCAAGGGUUCUCUCUAGAUCCUGAGCCAUCAUCACUGAUCUUACCCAAGUAUGGAGAAGGAAGACAGAGCCAGGGUGGGUAAAAUGCUUUCCCCGUGCCAUUUAAGUCCUUAUCAAAUAGCCUUCGAACCGACAUUCGCAAGACCCCAGAUCACAUGCUACUCACUCAGCCCUUUCUCCAGCUGGAAAGAACACCAAGACCAAGAACACAGAGGGCAGGACGUGGGGCGACUGGAAAGGGAAGCACGUUCCAGAGAAGGGCUGUGAUAUCAAAGCCAGAGUUCUCAGAAAAGAACUUUCCCAGUCCUUGAACUGUGGCCCAAAGAAGUGACCUUUCACAGAAUCCUUGGGGGAGUGCAGCAAGCAUUUAGUCACAGUUUUACAUGACCAUUUCCUCCGAACCUCUGGACAUCCAUCCCACCAGCAGGACUAAAACAGAGUGCUUGGGAAUCAUACAGAAUGGGUCACUCGCUGCAGGAGCAAAUAGCACCCUCCCAAGACCCCUCCUGUCUGGCCCCACAUGGCAGACAAAGGCUGCUGCUCCCAGGAUAGUGAAACAAGAGGAAGCUCCUGAUGCCCCAAAGUCCUUUUCCUUGCUAACUUCUAAUCUUGCUUAUUAUACUUCGAC
rnacentral:lncRNA from 1 species